UACAGGAGACUGCAAGCGUUAUUCGGAGUUCACUGGGCGUAAAGGGCGCGUAGGCGGUUCGUAUAGUCAGGCGUGAAAUUCCCGGGCUUAACCUGGGGGCUGCGUUUGAUACGUACGGGCUUGAGUUCGGAAGAGGGUCGUGGAAUUCCCAGUGUAGAGGUGAAAUUCGUAGAUAUUGGGAAGAACACCAGUGGCGAAGGCGACUAACUGGACAUGUAUUGACGCUGAGGUGGCGAAAGCGUGGGGAGCAAACAGG
rnacentral:rRNA from 1 species